UGCUCCACCCUCUCCCAAGCUUCAACUCCCGUACUCUACCCUUACCAUUCCGCCACCUCAAGCUUUAAGCAUCCAUCAACAAUGCCAAAUUAUUCCGUUGCCUCCAUUCCAAGGCCAAAACCUACGACCACCGACUUACCAUUCCGAUGUCUCCACCCCAAUGCCUAAAAUCGAAGCCCCUCAUCAUUGAAUCUAAUGUAGAAACAAGUUCAGCUCUAGCCAUUCACCAUUCGCCAUUGCCACUCACUAUUGUCACGCCGAUAAAGGCUGGACAUUCUUGUUGAUUUUUUUGUUGGCAUGACUCGGAAAUACCACCUGCAUAUGGUGAGAAGAGAAUCAACCAUUUAAAAAUCGAAAUUCAAAAGAUAUAACUAGUAAUGAAUAUUCAAACAACUCGACAUCGACUAGAAAUAGAGACUGAGAGGCGCAAGAGAAAGUUUGAAAGGGUCAGUGUAGUUUUAGUAAUUUCAAUGUCAUGGGUACUUUGUUUAGGCAUGCUUUUUGAGAAAUU